CCGGUGACAAACCGGAGGAAGGUGGGGACGACGUCAAGUCAUCAUGGCCCUUAUGUCCUGGGCUACACACGUGCUACGAAUGGCCGGUACAGAGCGCAGCUAGGCCGCGAGGCGGAGCGAAUCGCGAAAAGCCGGUCUCAGUACGGAUUGGAGUCUGAAACCCGACUCCAUGAAGUUGGAAUCGCUAGUAAUCGCGCAUCAGCAUGGCGCGGUGAAUACGUUCCCGGGCCUU
rnacentral:rRNA from 1 species